rnacentral:rRNA from 1 species
AGUAAACGGCGGCCGUAACUAUAACGGUCCUAAGGUAGCGAACUGCCUUCUCGGGUAAGUUCAGACCCGCACGAAAGGCGUAACGAGUUGGGCACUGUCUCAACAACAGACUCGGUGAAAUUGUAAUGCCGGUGAAGAUGCCGGAUACCUGCGACAGGACGGAAAGACCCCAUGGAGCUUUACUGGAGCUUGACAUUGGGUUUUGGUACUACAU